rfam:Enterobacter aerogenes KCTC 2190, complete genome.
CAAGACGAUCCAGAAGGCAAACUUAUUUUUCACAUAGUUCAGGUCUUUAACCUUGAAUAAUUGAGGGAUGACCUCAUUUAAUCUCCAGUAGCAAAUUUGACCUGUUUAUGGGAGGAGUUAUGCGUCUGGAUCGUCUUAC